rnacentral:tRNA from 1 species
UCUCUGAUGGUCUGCUGGCUAAGACUCUGCACUGCCAAUGCAGGGGGGCCAGGUUCGAUCCCUGGUCAGGGAA